rnacentral:misc_RNA from 1 species
UGUGGGAGCGAGCUUGCUCGCGAUGACGGUGGUUCAGUCGAUGAUGAGGUCGACUGACAGGCCGCUAUCGCGAGCAAGCUCGCUCCCACA